rnacentral:lncRNA from 1 species
GCCCUACGCCACCAGGCGGGGACCCGGACCCUGGGGCGGAGCAGGCUGGAGGGCCUGGCCCUGCAACGCAGUGCAGGGUCCCGGACCUCCCACUCUGCGGCUGGGGAAUGGCUGUCUAGAGGGGCCCUUGCGGGAUAAUGGGAGCUGGGAGUCCCUGUUCGGCGACCUCACCUGGCUGUAAACUCACCUUCUGGUGCGCGCAGGCCGCCGCUCCUGCAGGCAGCCAAGCCCAAUGAUGGGCGGAGGAGGGGAGGAGGAAGGAAGUUUUUCCAGCCUUUCAGCUCAUGCUUUCGGUCAGCUUCCCACUCUCUGGUGUCCCGGACGCCCUCCGGAUCGCCACUUCGAGCCCUAGCCUAGCUCGGGAGUGUCCCCGUAAGGGGCGCGUUCCCAGCUUGGCAGAAAACUUUCCAGCGAAUCACAGGCUGGCUUCUCCCUCCGCCUGGAGCCGGGGAGGGUGAUCUGAACUGAGUGGCGCCUCACCUGCCUGGAAGUUUGCCUGGGAACCCCACGACUCCAGGCACAGAUCUACGUGCCCUGCCAGCUCUGAAUCCCGACCUGGGUGACUUCGUGGGUGCGCACCCAGCUCUUUGAAGUUCAAGGCCUGAGAAGUCCCUGGGCAGCCGGAUGUCAGAGGAUUCAGCUGGGGUUAAAAGGCGCCUCCUACUGGAGCUGCCUGCCUCCUUAUCCCACCACGCUGCUACCUCACCAGGACCGGAGGGGAGGCCUCAAAAAUGAGAAGAUUCUAUUCUUGGAUCUGCCAGCACUGGGGAUGUUUUGAUUUAAGCUGAGGGUCUCUGCAGGACCCUGGCUCGGAAUACCCACACCUAGAAUUUCCAAGAGCUGGCAGAACAAUGGGCACCCAAAGCUGUUCACAUCUCAGUCUCUGGAACCCAGGACCUUAGGUGGUAGACUGCAGCCCUGCAGCUGUUCCUGGCAAUUUGUUACAGUAGCCACGGGGAAUGGAUACAUCUAGCGCUCUCAUCUGUAUAGGCCAAUGCGGAUUUCACCAGCCCUUCUGCUGACAGUCCACUGGAAAGCUCUUCUCUCAAGAGACACCAAGAUAUAGCCUGAUUCACGGAUUUAGAGAGAGGAUAAGAUUUCAUCAGAUCUGUCUUUAUUGUUUUUUUAGCUUCUCUGCAAUUUUGAACUGUGUGACCUUGGGAAAAUGUCUUCUACUCUCUGGGCCUCAGUUUCUUUCUUUAAAUGUAAAAACAAUGAUGCUGGCUAGGUACACAGGAGGCAGAUGCCUAUGGCCCCAGAUACUUCAGAUGCUGAGGCAGGAGGAUGGCACUUUUGAGGUCACCUUGGGCAACCUUCUUUUGUUAUCAGUGAGUGUCGAAAUGUGGGCCUCAUGUAUGGAAACUGAGUACUUUUCCAUUACACUGCGUCUCCAGACCUAGCUUGAGUAACUUAAUGAAACUCUCUCCAAAAACAAUAAACUAAUUAAGUUAAAUAAGUCUUAAAAUAGGGACUGAAGAUGUAGCUCAGUGGUAGAAUGUUUGCCCUACCUGUGUUUCAGAAGGAUCAGAACUGCAAGUCAUCCUUGUGUAUACAGCUAAGUUUGAGGCCAGCCUGGGCUAUGUGAUACCCUGUCUUGUAUUGACAGUUACAAUAAUGAAAUGCAUAGCCUACGUGUGGCCCUGGGUCCCAUCCUCAGCACAUCAAGAAGAAAACAGAAUAAAAAUAGUGAUGCUAAAAAUACUCUCCUUUACAGGAUCAAUAUGAGUAUCAGAGGCAGCAGCAGGAUGCGAUGCUCUGUGUGAGUCCCUGUGACAUCUGAACUGCAGUUGCUGAGACCUGAACUGCCCACUCGGGAACACAGGACUCUUUAGAGCAGGCUUGUCUGAUGGACUAUUCCUGAACUCUGGACAUGUGAUGCUUGAAAAUGAGUGUCUAGUGGGGCUUGGUGAUGCAUGCAUGUAAUCCCAGUGCCUUUGGGAACUGAGGCAGGGGGAUCAGAAGAUCAGGGUCACCCUUUUUGAGGAACCACCCUUUGUGUGGUUCUAUCUCAACACACACACACACACACACACCAAAAAUCAAAAACUAAAAAAAAAAAAUCCCACCCCCCCAAAACCUCACU